rnacentral:lncRNA from 1 species
UAAGUAAUUGUAGAAAGGUGUUCAACAUAAAGGAAAAUUGAUUUAUUAUUUUCUAUUUUUGAAUUUGAAUAUAGGAACACCGUACUAUAAAUAGGGACGUGGCUAGUUGGCUUCAAGAUGUCAAAGUGCUUACUUGAGAUGCUAACUACCUAUGAGACAUACCUUAAUCACACACUUGCACAUUUUAUUUCUCACAAUUUUCUGUGAGUGUUCGAAGUUCCGACACCUGUUAGAUAUUUCAAAAACUUCCGACAAGGAGUGCUCAACAGAUUUCAUUUAAUUGUGUCGGAAGUUCCGUCCCUGUGUCAGAAGUUCCGACAGAUACAUUAACAGCACAACAACGGCUAGUUUUGGGGCUCGGGUAUUUAUACCCCCUCAGCACCCUCUUCAUUUGCCGCUGACCUAACCCGAGACAAAUACCUCCAAGAACAUUCAAUACUCCUCCC